GGCCGGUGAUGAUCCUCAUUUACCUUUCUGACACCUCGUCUGAGGGCGGCGGGCGGCCGCAGCCCCUGCAGAGCAGCCAUGGCUGAGGCCC